GUCGAACGGACCCUUCGGGGUUAGUGGCGGACGGGUGAGUAACACGUGGGAACGUGCCUUUAGGUUCGGAAUAGCUCCUGGAAACGGGUGGUAAUGCCGAAUGUGCCCUUCGGGGGAAAGAUUUAUCGCCUUUAGAGCGGCCCGCGUCUGAUUAGCUAGUUGGUGAGGUAAUGGCUCACCAAGGCGACGAUCAGUAGCUGGUCUGAGAGGAUGACCAGCCACAUUGGGACUGAGACACGGCCCAAACUCCUACGGGAGGCAGCAGUGGGGAAUCUUGCGCAAUGGGCGAAAGCCUGACGCAGCCAUGCCGCGUGAAUGAUGAAGGUCUUAGGAUUGUAAAAUUCUUUCACCGGGGACGAUAAUGACGGUACCCGGAGAAGAAGCCCCGGCUAACUUCGUGCCAGCAGCCGCGGUAAUACGAAGGGGGCUAGCGUUGCUCGGAAUUACUGGGCGUAAAGGGCGCGUAGGCGGACAUUUAAGUCAGGGGUGAAAUCCCAGAGCUCAACUCUGGAACUGCCUUUGAUACUGGAUGUCUUGAGUGUGAGAGAGGUAUGUGGAACUC
rnacentral:rRNA from 1 species